UCUGCCUUUACUCCAGUAGAUUUCCUUCAGAGCUGCUGAAAGUGGAAUUGAUGAGCUGGGAGGAAACAGUUGCUUUGGAGAAAUGCCGUGUUCCGGAUAUGGGGCUCAGUGAGCUGAUUGUGGAGAGGCUAAGGAUGAAGACUGACUCCCCACCCCCAUGAAAUGAUCGGGGCUGAAGUGGAAAAAUUAAAUACUGUAACUGAAUCUUGAAAAUGGUCUGUAAUGAAACAUCCUGGACCUGAGCCCCAAGAACAGUAGGGUAAGGGCCUCCAACUGAGUAGGGCCCUGAAGAAAAGGGACUGAGUGGUUUUAUGGCCUACCUGAGCUGAGUUAAAGAUAAUCAGCUCCUGUGCUUUCAGGGCUUGCUCUGGUCUCUUAGGAAGUAGCCAGGGCUGUGUUGCUAGAGGCAGGAUGCUUGACUCGAUCGGCCCAUCCACUGUUUUAUUAAUUGUGUUACACUGUAGCCUAGAGGCCCUACUGUGCUAGGGUUUGUACAGACACUUUAUUAGAGACCAUCCCUGUCCCAAAGAGUUUUGUUUGCUUUGUCUACUUAGGUUAUAAAGGAUGGAAAAGAGGAAGAAUCAGCAUUGCGGAUGGGAAACUGAGGUACAGAGAGUUGAAGACUGAAAUUUUCAGAGGAGCCCAGUGGAGUUAGGUGAAGUUGGGAAGCCAGGGAGUCCAUGUUGCAACAUGAGGAAGUUGGGGGCAAGAACUCUGAAGACAAGACUGGCUGGUUUUGCUUCUCCCUCCUCACCCUGGAUCCCUUAUAGGAAUCACAGAUGCGCACACUUACUCCUCUGAUACCAGCUCAGACCUUUAUUUCGUGCUUCGAAUGUUGGCAUCCUCUAUCAUCCUGUUUUCUCUUCACCCCAAAUAAACAGACAUAGAUGCUUUCCCAUUGACCUGGGAGCUGCCACUGCAGUCCUGCUACAUCUUGAAGCUGUUGUGCUGAACAACUGGGAGACAGUGAGAGAGAUGGAGCUGAGAGGCAAUGCUAUGUGAACCAAAUUCAGCAACAUGUGGUUUUGAGUUUAGGUAACCAGGGGAGUUCUACUGAAGUCAGGACAAAUUUUCAGUGUCAUGAGCAGAGAUGCCAAGCUGGACCCUCAAAACCAGGGCCAUCCCAGAAAACAUGAGCCAUUUGGUCAUCAAGAGUUUGAACUAGCUUUUGGGGGUUCAGCUGAA